GUGGGGAAUAUUGGACAAUGGGCGGAAGCCUGAUCCAGCCACGCCGCGUGAGUGAUGAAGGCCCUCGGGUCGUAAAGCUCUGUGGAGAGGGACGAAACCUUGUGCGUUAAUAGCGUGCAAAUUGACGGUACCUCUUUAGCAAGCACCGGCUAACUCCGUGCCAGCAGCCGCGGUAAUACGGGGGGUGCAAACGUUGCUCGGAAUUAUUGGGCGUAAAGCGCACGUAGGCGGUCCGUUAAGUCGGAUGUGAAAGCCCUCGGCUCAACCGAGGAAGUGCAUUCGAAACUGACAGACUUGAGUAUGGGAGAGGGUGGCGGAAUUCCCGGUGUAGAGGUGAAAUUCGUAGAUAUCGGGAGGAACACCAGUGGCGAAGGCGGCCACCUGGACCAAUACUGACGCUGAGGUGCGAAAGCGUGGGGAGCAAACAGG
rnacentral:rRNA from 1 species